rnacentral:rRNA from 1 species
CGUGUAGGCGGGUAUAUAAGUCAGAAGUGAAAUCCUAUAGCUUAACUAUAGAACUGCUUUUGAAACUGUAUACCUAGAAUGUGGGAGAGGUAGAUGGAAUUUCUGGUGUAGGGGUAAAAUCCGUAGAGAUCAGAAGGAAUACCGAUUGCGAAGGCGAUCUACUGGAACAUUAUUGACGCUGAGACGCGAAAGCGUGGGGAGCGAACA